rnacentral:rRNA from 1 species
UACGUAGCAGCGAGCGUUGUUCGGAAUUACUGGGCGUAAAGAGUGUGUAGGCGGUGCUCCCAGUCUGUUGUGAAAUCUCCCGGCUUAACUGGGAGGGUGCAGCGGAAACUAGAGUGCUAGAGGGUGGGAGAGGUAAGCGGAAUUCCUGGUGUAGCGGUGAAAUGCGUAGAUAUCAGGAGGAACACCGGUGGUGUAAACGGCUUUCUGGACCAUAACUGACGCUGAGGCACGAAAGCGUGGGUAGCAAACAGG